GUGGGCGUGCCGGAGCGGUCAAACGGGCUAGCCUCAAAAGCUAGUGGCUUAGUGCCUACGCAGGUUCAAGUCCUGUCGCCCACA
rnacentral:tRNA from 1 species